GAGACAGCAGCAGCCACGGUAAAACCAGCAGCCCAAGUGGUGGUCGCGAUUAUUGGGCCUAAAGCGCUCGUAGCCGGGCCGGUAAGUCCCUUGUGAAAUCGGACGGCCUAACCGUUCGGCGUGCAAGGGAUACUGUCGGUCUUGAGGCCGGGAGACGUCCGAGGUACUCCGGGGGUAGCGGUGAAAUGUUCUAAUCCUCGGGGGACCACCGGUGGCGAAGGCGUUCGACGAGAACGGGCCUGACGGUGAGGGGCGAAGGCUAGGGGAGCAAACGGGAUUAGAGACCCCGGUAGUCCCUGUCUCUUAUA
rnacentral:rRNA from 1 species